CUCCAGUCUGAGCACGUCGCUGUUGGGAAGAAGUAUGGGAUGGGAGCCGCGUGUUUGACCAAAUGUCUCCCAAACUACUUUUCAUGGUACAACAGGAGCGACUUGAAGGAUUCGGCACAAACACCGUAGCUGCAGCCCAAACGGCUAAGGAGCAUGUGUGUGAAGGUUUUGCGGGAGGAGUUUGGGGACGCUAUCCUGCCGGAAUCUUGUUCUCUGACUCUGGCUUCUCAGCAUCGGGGAGGAGGAUGGAAGCAAUUACCAGCGGCAGCAGCUGAGAGAGCGCCAGACCUCUGCACAUCAAUCAGUGUUACUCAUCCGCCUCUGCCCGAGUGCGCGCGCUGAAGAGCGUGUUAAAGAGCACACCCUUGUGGUGACAUCCCUCAUCGCAGCCAGCCAAGUCUGAAUGCCAUCACAGCCACAAUCCUGCUGCCAGCUCUUUAAACUGGAGGCCCCUCUUUUCUUUCCCCUGCCUUUCUAUAUUAAUCUUCACCACCUAAUUGCUACUUUUAUUAGCAGUGCAGAAUAAAGAAAAAAAAACCCUGUCCUGA